AGCCAGCAGCGCCAGGAUGGUGCUGCUGGAGAGUGAGCAGUUCCUGAAGGAGCUGACCAGGUUCCUCCAGAAGUGCUGGUUGUCAGGCAGCGUGUUCAUCACCCUGAAGAAGUAUGAUGGUCGAACUAAACCCAUUACAAGGAAGGGUUCUGUGGAGGGCUUUGAGCCCUCAGAUAACAAGUGUCUGUUAAGAGCUACUGGUGGGAAAAAGAAGAUCAGCACUGUGGUGAGCUCCAAAGAAGUAAGUUUCAGAUGGCUUAUUCAAACCUACUGAGAGCUAACAUGCAUGGGCUCAAGAAGAGGGACAAAAAGAGCCAGAGUAAGAAGAGCAAAGCAGCGCAGUGA